CAACCCUUUGCAGAUUUUACUUAAUGAUGAGACGUUAAGCUGCACGAUUACUGCCACUAGAGCAAAGCUGCCUCUACCGGAGGAUGUGCCUCGCCCUCAAGUAUUUAUUAUCGUGAAAGGAUCUGACGCGCACUUGACCGCCAAAUGCUGUAGACUCUAUGAUCAGUUUGGCUAGAGGGAAGGAGAAUAUAUUAAUGAAUGUCGAAAGAUGUGAUUUACACGAGGAAAGCUGCAAAACGCUGCCCAAUGAAUAGACAUGAUCUCAUUUAUCUUCCACGGAUACUUUUGAGCGAUCAAGCGAUUAAUUUUGUACAGUAUUUGUAUUAAUCACGGUAACCCAGUUCGCAUGCGUGAGGGUUAUAGUUUUUCAAGUAUGUAUUCCAUUAUGCCAGUGCUUCUGUUUCUGUGUGGUCUCUUGACCUGAUAAAGACUCGGGUAUUUA